rnacentral:rRNA from 1 species
GUGUCAGCCGCCGCGGUAAUACAGAGGUCCCAAGCGUUGUUCGGAUUCACUGGGCGUAAAGGGUGCGUAGGCGGUCGGGUAAGUCUGACGUGAAAUCUUCGAGCCUAACUCGGAAACUGCGUCGGAUACUAUUCGGCUAGAGGAAUGGAGGGGAGACUGGAAUACUUGGUGUAGCAGUGAAAUGCGUAGAUAUCAAGUGGAACACCAGUGGCGAAGGCGAGUCUCUGGACAUUUCCUGACGCUGAGGCACGAAAGCCAGGGGAGCAAACGGGAUUAGAAACCCUAGUAGUCC